rnacentral:rRNA from 1 species
UACGUAGGGGGCUAGCGUUGUCCGGAUUUAUUGGGCGUAAAGAGCGUGUAGGCGGCUUGGCAAGUCUGCUGUGAAAACUCGAGGCUCAACCUCGAGCUGUCGGUGGAAACUGCCUGGCUAGAGUCCGGAAGAGGAGAGUGGAAUUCCUGGUGUAGCGGUGAAAUGCGCAGAUAUCAGGAAGAACACCUAUGGCGAAGGCAGCUCUCUGGGACGGUACUGACGCUGAGGAGCGAAAGUGUGGGGAGCGAACAGG